GUAGUCUCGCACAGAUGCAUAUCAAUAAGCGGAGGAAAAGAAACUAACAAGGAUUCCCCUAGUAACGGCGAGUGAAGCGGGACGAGCUCAAAUUUGAAAUCUUAAAGGGUUUCCCUUUACGAAUUGUAGUUUAAAGAAGUGUUUUCUGUUGAGGUUUUGGUAAAAGUUCUUUGGAAUAGGACAUCAUAGAGGGUGAGAAUCCCGUAUUUGACCUUUACUUUCAACUUUGUGAUACACUUUCAAAGAGUCGGAUUGUUUGGGAAUGCAGUCCAAAAUGGGUGGUAAAUUUCAUCUAAAGCUAAAUAUUGGCGAGAGACCGAUAGCGAACAAGUACCGUGAGGGAAAGAUGAAAAGAACUUUGAAAAGAGAGUUAAACAGUACGUGAAAUUGUCAAAAGGGAAGCGUUUGACACCAGUGUUGUUUUUCUGAAAAUCAAUUAAAGAACUGUUUAUGCUAAGUUGUUUAGACUUUAUCAGCUAACUGUUUAGUUUUGAGCUUUUCUUUAAUGCACUUUUCAGUUAACAAGUCAACAUCAAUUUCUUUUGCUGUAAAAAAGCUUGAGGAAGGUGGCUUGAGAUUCGUCUUAAGUGUUUAUAGCCUCUUGCCUAUGCAGUCGGAGAGAUUGAGGUCUGCAGCGUAGAUCCUUCGGGGCUAAAUGCAUUUGUGCUAAGUUAUAGCAUUUUAUAGACAACUUGUUGACUAUGAUUUGUCUUGUAGCUUACUCGCUUAUGUUAUUUUACCUACGCUUAGGAUGUUGAUCUGUAGUGCGUGCGC
rnacentral:rRNA from 1 species